rnacentral:rRNA from 13 species
GGGUUGUGAGGUUAAGCGACUAAGCGUACACGGUGGAUGCCCUGGCAGUCAGAGGCGAUGAAGGGCGUGCUAAUCUGCGAUAAGCGCCGGUAAGGUGAUAUGAACCGUUAUAACCGGCGAUACCCGAAUGGGGAAACCCAGUGUGACUCGUCACACUAUCAUUAACUGAAUCCAUAGGUUAAUGAGGCGAACCGGGGGAACUGAAACAUCUAAGUACCCCGAGGAAAAGAAAUCAACCGAGAUUCCCCCAGUAGCGGCGAGCGAACGGGGAGGAGCCCAGAGCCUGAAUCAGCAUGUGUGUUAGUGGAAGCGUCUGGAAAGGCGCGCGAUACAGGGUGACAGCCCCGUACACAAAAGCGCAUGUGCUGUGAGCUCGAUGAGUAGGGCGGGACACGUGGUAUCCUGUCUGAAUAUGGGGGGACCAUCCUCCAAGGCUAAAUACUCCUGACUGACCGAUAGUGAACCAGUACCGUGAGGGAAAGGCGAAAAGAACCCCGGCGAGGGGAGUGAAAAAGAACCUGAAACCGUGUACGUACAAGCAGUGGGAGCACAGGUUUACCUGUGUGACUGCGUACCUUUUGUAUAAUGGGUCAGCGACUUAUAUUCUGUAGCAAGGUUAACCGAAUAGGGGAGCCGGAGGGAAACCGAGUCUUAAUUGGGCGUUAAGUUGCAGGGUAUAGACCCGAAACCCGGUGAUCUAGCCAUGGGCAGGUUGAAGGUUGGGUAACACUAACUGGAGGACCGAACCGACUAAUGUUGAAAAAUUAGCGGAUGACCUGUGGCUGGGGGUGAAAGGCCAAUCAAACCGGGAGAUAGCUGGUUCUCCCCGAAAGCUAUUUAGGUAGCGCCUCGUGAAUUCAUCUCCGGGGGUAGAGCACUGUUUCGGCUAGGGGGCCAUCCCGGCUUACCAACCCGAUGCAAACUGCGAAUACCGGAGAAUGUUAUCACGGGAGACACACGGCGGGUGCUAACGUCCGUCGUGAAGAGGGAAACAACCCAGACCGCCAGCUAAGGUCCCAAAGUCAUGGUUAAGUGGGAAACGAUGUGGGAAGGCCCAGACAGCCAGGAUGUUGGCUUAGAAGCAGCCAUCAUUUAAAGAAAGCGUAAUAGCUCACUGGUCGAGUCGGCCUGCGCGGAAGAUGUAACGGGGCUAAACCAUGCACCGAAGCUGCGGCAGCGAACGUAUCACUUAAAGCGAUUCAGCGGGUUACGAUUGACGGAGCGAAGCGACGUCAAAGCGUAUACAAAGUCGAGUCGGUUUAAGGAUACGUUCGUUGGGUAGGGGAGCGUUCUGUAAGCCUGUGAAGGUGGCCUGUGAGGGUUGCUGGAGGUAUCAGAAGUGCGAAUGCUGACAUAAGUAACGAUAAAGCGGGUGAAAAGCCCGCUCGCCGGAAGACCAAGGGUUCCUGUCCAACGUUAAUCGGGGCAGGGUGAGUCGACCCCUAAGGCGAGGCCGAAAGGCGUAGUCGAUGGGAAACGGGUUAAUAUUCCCGUACUUGGUGUUACUGCGAAGGGGGGACGGAGAAGGCUAUGUUGGCCGGGCGACGGUUGUCCCGGUUUAAGCGUGUAGGUGUGUGUUCCAGGUAAAUCCGGUUCACUUUAACACUGAGGCGUGACGACGAGGCACUACGGUGCUGAAGCAACAAAUGCCCUGCUUCCAGGAAAAGCCUCUAAGCAUCAGGUAACAUCAAAUCGUACCCCAAACCGACACAGGUGGUCAGGUAGAGAAUACCAAGGCGCUUGAGAGAACUCGGGUGAAGGAACUAGGCAAAAUGGUGCCGUAACUUCGGGAGAAGGCACGCUGACACGUAGGUGAAGUGAUUUACUCAUGGAGCUGAAGUCAGUCGAAGAUACCAGCUGGCUGCAACUGUUUAUUAAAAACACAGCACUGUGCAAACACGAAAGUGGACGUAUACGGUGUGACGCCUGCCCGGUGCCGGAAGGUUAAUUGAUGGGGUCAGCGCAAGCGAAGCUCCUGAUCGAAGCCCCGGUAAACGGCGGCCGUAACUAUAACGGUCCUAAGGUAGCGAAAUUCCUUGUCGGGUAAGUUCCGACCUGCACGAAUGGCGUAAUGAUGGCCAGGCUGUCUCCACCCGAGACUCAGUGAAAUUGAACUCGCUGUGAAGAUGCAGUGUACCCGCGGCAAGACGGAAAGACCCCGUGAACCUUUACUAUAGCUUGACACUGAACAUUGAGCCUUGAUGUGUAGGAUAGGUGGGAGGCUUUGAAGUGUGGACGCCAGUCUGCAUGGAGCCGACCUUGAAAUACCACCCUUUAAUGUUUGAUGUUCUAACGUGGACCCGUAAUCCGGGUUGCGGACAGUGUCUGGUGGGUAGUUUGACUGGGGCGGUCUCCUCCUAAAGAGUAACGGAGGAGCACGAAGGUUGGCUAAUCCUGGUCGGACAUCAGGAGGUUAGUGCAAUGGCAUAAGCCAGCUUGACUGCGAGCGUGACGGCGCGAGCAGGUGCGAAAGCAGGUCAUAGUGAUCCGGUGGUUCUGAAUGGAAGGGCCAUCGCUCAACGGAUAAAAGGUACUCCGGGGAUAACAGGCUGAUACCGCCCAAGAGUUCAUAUCGACGGCGGUGUUUGGCACCUCGAUGUCGGCUCAUCACAUCCUGGGGCUGAAGUAGGUCCCAAGGGUAUGGCUGUUCGCCAUUUAAAGUGGUACGCGAGCUGGGUUUAGAACGUCGUGAGACAGUUCGGUCCCUAUCUGCCGUGGGCGCUGGAGAACUGAGGGGGGCUGCUCCUAGUACGAGAGGACCGGAGUGGACGCAUCACUGGUGUUCGGGUUGUCAUGCCAAUGGCACUGCCCGGUAGCUAAAUGCGGAAGAGAUAAGUGCUGAAAGCAUCUAAGCACGAAACUUGCCCCGAGAUGAGUUCUCCCUGAGACUUUAAGUCUCCUGAAGGAACGUUGAAGACGACGACGUUGAUAGGCCGGGUGUGUAAGCGCAGCGAUGCGUUGAGCUAACCGGUACUAAUGAACCGUGAGGCUUAACCUUACAACGCCGAAG